UAUGCAUUGGGAAUCGUGACUCUUUUUCCAUAUCGGAUCAAGACAGUACAGUGAAACAUAUCAGUUGUCUCCC